UCUUUUUCUAUAUUGUGAGUUUGAAAAUACAACUCCCAAGGACAUCUGUUUGCACACAAAACAGAAGUAUUAAUGCAUCCCAGCCUUUGUUUGUAAUUCAGGAGGAGGAAACCUUCCACUUAACCAACACGCUAACAGACCAUUCUUCAAGACAUACUGACUACUAAAAUUAUUGUUAAUUGAAUGGUUGAAAAUUGAUAUUUUCAAAGACCGAGACCACAGUGCACAUCUAUUGAAAACAUGAACACGGACGUUAUGAGAGAAUUUACAGAUCCUUGAGAAAUUGACAAACUCCGGGAAAGAAGAGUUUAGCGGGAAAAGUCAAACAGUUUGCCUUUGGGAGACUAAAGUCCAAGUCCAACUGUGUCACUAACUGACUCUGGAAGGUUGGGCA